AAUAAGGGAUUAUUUAUUUAUUUAUUUAUUUUUAAUUUUACUUUUCCUUUUUACUCUUCACAGUUAUGCAACCCUCAUACUUUACUCUUUCUUUUCACCAGGUUGCAGCCGCUCGUCCUUAUGGGUCCUAAAUGACAGUCCAGUGUUCCCUUCUCUUCCAUUGAUAGUCAGCGGGCAAAGACCAUCACACAUGGAUCUCCACCAGCAGCCACUGACAACCUCAGCGCAAAUACACCAGAUCACACUACUUCUCGAACGCUUGGCCCAUCGUGCAAUAUCAUUGCUACCUCACCUCCACCACCACGAACAGUUGCUCUGGCUCCAUGUGCAAAUGAUGAACUGCCCACUAGAGCUACACGAUGGCAUUAUCAUCGCAAACAGCCCUCACGCAACACCACAGUCGCUGCCGUUACUGUAACCCAUCCAUUAUUGACGCCACCAAUGAUCGGCAACAGCAACCUCCUGCCAACUCUGCACAUGAUCACGAAUUGGGAGAGACAAGCAUCUAUCUUUAGCUCUGUCACAGCCACAUGGUAACCUUCGAUUCAUAAGGAAAAAGGAAAAGGAAAGGUAUGCUAUAGUUUCAUCUCUUCCCAUCAUACAAGAUAAAACUUUACAUGCCCCUACUAUGCAAGAACUAAAAUUGAAUGUGGAUGUCUUGCUUGAAAAUAUUGGAUGAGUGAAUUUCUUUGCCUUAAAUUGUCCCAUUUACUAUGAACUGAUAUGGGAGUUUCAUUCCACGUUUUCCACUACAUCACUUAUUGAUUGCACACUAGACACUACUAGGGUUAUAAAAUUCAGACUAUUAGGUCAUAGAUUUGCAUAUUCACUAACAAAAUUUAAUAAAGCACUUAGGCUAAUUGAUGAUGAAUCUGCACAAUCUAAAGCUUACAUGAAUUCAUACAUGGACAUCUACAAUAAUUUUAACCCACAGUCCGUGCAUAAAACGCUCACACACCAAUCACCAGCAUCUUUUAAUCCUAUUAAAUCCAGUGAUUCUUAUUUACACUCACCUGCUCUAGUCCAUCUACACCUUUGCUUGCAUACUCUUUUUCAGGAAGGAAGGAUUCCCCUUGGAAUCCUAUCUAAAACUGAGUUAUUUUUUCUAUAGUGCAUGACUGAGAAUAAAAAGGUCAAUUUGUGUUAUUUCAUCGCAUUACAAUUACACACUACUGUUAAUCGCCAUAGACCAUUGAUAUUGGGACACAUAGUCACCCACAUAGCUUUAUAUGAAGGACUGAUUGAUUUUACACCUAAUAAUUUGCACAAAACUUGUGAUAUGUUGCCUUUGCAUCUAAUGAGUCUUGAUGAUAUGGGUCUAUUGUGCAAAAAUGGUGUUGUGUUUUCUCUUUUUCCUCCAGGUCCCAUCAUCCCUUGACUAGACCGUAUGUUCAGGAAAGGAGUUGUACGCACUACCCCUGUUGUCCUUACUCCAGCAAUGGCUAACCCUCUCUCUGAUGCACAACAAGCUUUUUAAACUCUUAAUGCCAAAAUCGAUAAGAUGGAGAGUUGCUUUGAAAGCAUUCUAGAGCCCGUUGCUACCCAUUUGGCAUGCCUAGCAAAUAAAGUCACUGACAUGUAAGCCAUAAUAUGCUCCACACACCAAUGCAUGUAAGCCAUAAUCUGCUCCACACACCAAUGCAUGUAAGCCAUAAUCUGCUCCACACACCAAUGGGGACAGUAAAUGGCCAUUGCAUCCUUCCUUACCACCUAGUAUUCUAAACUCUUCUUUAUUGCUUUAUACUUUGAUUCAAGUGUAGGGGAAGGCUGUUUAGAGAAAAUAGGCAUGCUUUGAUUGCAUUGAUUUUCAUCACAUUGGAGACCAUGUGAUCCAAGUGGGGAGGGGGGGGAAUGUUACUGUCCAUAUCCAUGAUGUCCAUCUGUUUUAGCUUUCUUUCGUUUUAGCUUUCUUUCGUUUUAGCUUUAUUUUCUUUUGUUUUAAUUGUUUUAUGUUAUGUUAUAUUAUGUUUGUUUAUUUUCUUUAGUUAAAAAAAUAUUGAUUUUUAUAGUUAGAUUAAAUUACUUUAGGUAGCUAGCACAAAUGGUUUCCUCUUAUCUUUUUAUGCAAAUCAUGAGGGAUUCUAGCAUUUUUUCUUUAUGGGUUAAAAUGUGCAAACUUAUAUUUAAGUAAAUUGAUAUUGCUUGUUAAAAGACUAUUAGUGUAUUUUGAAACUCUACUUUAACUUGUUGCAGUGAGUCUCAAUGAAGAAUAAUAUCCCAUGAACUCAAUUAAAAAAAAAAGGAAUAAAUUGUGUGGUUCACCAACAUUAGCUGGUUCAAAUGGUACGGCAUUUGUUCCUCUUAAGCAAGCGAUGUCCCUUGUGGAUGGAGAAAGCCUAUGAUUGGGAGAAUUAUACCCUGUAGGAGCCGUCAAUAAUUCGAAACAUACCACUAAUGAGAUGGUUUACCAUAAUCGGUUGGUUUGAAUAUUUCAGGCCCAUUCCCCUUAAGAAAGGGAUGUCCCUUGUGAAUGGAAAAAAUCAGUGUUGGGAGAGUCUACUCUCAUAGGAGCCUAUAAAAAUCUUGAAACAAGACCAUAAAAAAUAAAUAUAAAUAAAUAAAUAAAAACUGGAUUUCUAUAUUCUUUGGUGAAAAUUACAACUCUAGAGACUUCCUUGGUUGGUUGGAUAUAUGUUUUUUUAUGCAUUAACUUAAAAAUUAUUGAACUUAACUGUAUGAUCACAUAUUAAGAAUGAAUUUGUUGUAUUUCAGCUUUGAA